GUUCACAAUUGUAUAUCAUUUUGUACCCUUCUAGCUUAUGAUUUGGUUAUGUUAUUGAGUCAAACGUGUGCUUUUAAUCCCUUUUCUGUUUAUCAUUCAGUUCAUUGGGCCUUAGGUAGCAAUGGUGUCUUUGGAUAAGAAAAGAUGCAAAAUGGUGCAAAAACGAGCAGACUGGGUUAGCAACUCAUUUCGGCCUUAACAUCUUUCUCCGACUUGGAUUGGCCCAAAUAAUAUGUAGUUGGAAAGAUGAGAGUCUGAACUUCAAGAUGGACUACUCAAAUGCAUCAGAUUAUGAAGUUGAGCCCAAUUCGUGAGCCCAUAUACACACCAGGCUCAGGAUUGCAGUUUCCAGUUGUUGAGCCUUGGAUACUUUCUUUGAGCCAUGUGACUCACCACAGCUUUCCUUGACUUUAGACCUGACAUGUUGAGCAAUUAAGGGAGGAGUGUCAGCUACUCAAGUGCAAAGGAGCCUUGACUUUAGACCAGACAUGUUGAGCAAUUUAGGGAGCAAUUUAGGGAGGUGUGUCAGCUACUCAAAGGCAAAGGAUUCACUCAAUUGACCAAUAAUUCACUCCAGCCAUCCUAUAUUACUCCAUUCAGCCCAAAAUCAGAAGGGGAACAACUCCAACAAGCCUUCCUUCCAUUUCCUACGAAUUUGUUCUUUCUCUGCCAUCACCAACCACCCAAACUCAUCCCAAAUCACCUCUUUAGUUGCCAUACUCUAGACAUGAGAAAGUUCUUGGAGUAGCAUUAGACGUGGAGAAGCACCUGGAGAAGCCUUGGAAACCAUAAGCAACUUCAGAAUUGGGUUUCUCUACUCUUAUUGCAUUCAAUAUGUUUUCUCAUUUUUGCUUAAGUUUCAUUUCCAUUAUGAGUAGCUAAAUUCAUAACUAGGGCUAUGAUAUAACCUAACAUGAAUAUUCUGGGUUUAUAAGUUGAAGUUUUGAGUUUCAAGUUUGAUUCAUGAUUCAUAUUCCUAUUCUUUAUGCUUAUCAGUUAAUAUGCUUGUUUGGAUGAUUGAUCACCAUUAGAACUUGUAUAUUAGCUACCUUGGUUUGAAUCAAGAGUAGACACCAUGCUUUGAUUUGAAUUGAACUAUGAAUAAGAAAAGUAUGUAUGGACAUUCGACAACAGGGAUUAGAUA